rnacentral:rRNA from 1 species
UCGGGAAUUUUGGGCAAUGGGCGAAAGCCUGACCCAGCAACGCCGCGUGAAGGAUGAAGUAUUUCGGUAUGUAAACUUCGGAAGAAUAGGAAGAAUAAAUGACGGUACUAUUUAUAAGGUCCGGCUAACUACGUGCCAGCAGCCGCGGUAAUACGUAGGGACCAAGCGUUGUUCGGAUUUACUGGGCGUAAGGGCGCGUAGGCGGCAAUUCAAGUCAUCUGUGAAAUCUCCGGGCUUAACUCGGAACGGUCAGAUGAUACUGCUUUGCUAGAGUGCAGAAGGGGCAAUCGGAAUUCUUGGUGUAGCGGUGAAAUGCGUAGAUAUCAAGAGGAACACCUGAGGUGAAGACGGGUUGCUGGGCUGACACUGACGCUGAGGCGCGAAAGCCAGGGGAGCAAACGGGAUUAGAUACCCCCGUAGUCCCUGAGCGGGCUGGCAAGGCGCAU